GCUGGGUAUGGUGGUGCAUGCCUAUAGUCCUAGCUAUUUGGGAGGCUGAGGCAGGAGGAUGGCUUGAGCUCAGGAGUUCGAGGCUGCAGUGAGCCAUGAUCACGCCACUGCACUCCAGCCUGGGUGAUAGAGCAAGACCCUGUCUCAA
rnacentral:SRP_RNA from 1 species